AAUCCGCGAGACGGAUUCAAGGAAUGAAAGAUACGAAUGCAAUGCUUGAAUCCGCGAGACGGAUUCAAAGAAUGAAAGAUAUGGAUGCAAUGCUUGAAUCCGCGAGACGGAUUCAAGGAAUGAAGGGCAUGAAUGCAAUGUUCAAAUCCGCGAAGCGGACUUAAGGUAUAAAAAGGCGAAAACUAGUCUACAUAAUAAGAGUCAAUAGUUUGACCAUGAUUGCGUCAAACAAGUCAUAUAAGUAAAUGUAACGCAAAUGGACAAAGGAAUGAUAAGAAGGAAGAUAUUCGAAUGUGAAGUGAUUACAUGCUAAACAAAUAAAUGUUCCUUUAGUGAUCUGACUCAGUUUAUGUUUGAACUUCUAUAUAUAUACAUAUGAAUAUAUUAUGCAAAUGCGUUUCGUACGAAAAUGGUCGAUAGGACAAAUGGGUCAUACGGGUCAGAUGGCGAUUGCCAUUGAAACUCGGUAGCUAAUGCCUUGAUUGUUAAGUUUUAUACUCAUAGGUAAGCUUGAUGAAUAGACGCGCAAUGUCACUAAUCGGAAAGGAACGAUUACCGUAAGGUAUGGAUAACGAAUCAAUGGAAUUCACUUCCAUCAGGUACGUAUAAAAAGGGUUGUAACUGUAGUAUGAGGUUAUGACUCGACUAGAGAGGGAUGCGUCAGAGUAGAAUAUGUAUAUACAAACCGUAAUGAAAAAUGUGAAAUGAACUUCUAAAUGUUCGUAAUGAUCGUCGGGUGGUAUUGAACCUGAAUGCACAUAACUGUGGAAAUUCUGAUAGAAUAUAAGAGACGGAAAGUAUCGUUAAGAAAUGCUAACUUUGAUGCUCGGCUUGUUGGCCAUGUUCAUUGAACAAAAUAUUGUAGAAAAGAUACGCAUGGCAUGUAAAACAAUAGUAACCAUGGAAAUAAUGCUUAGUUUUCGUGUUAAGUACGGAUAAGUAAGUUUAAGAAGGGUGAUUUUGGUUGUACCCGUAAGUCUUUCGAAUGAUCAUAAAUGCGUAUGAUAAAAUAUCGACCCCUCCUAUAAGCUCAAGGGUAAUCAGAUGUAAGGAUAGAAAUGGAAUGUUAAGGAAGGCUCAUAGUGAAUAAAAUGAAAGAUAGCAUAUGAUGUAUGAGUAGAAUAAAAUAAAUUGAUUUAUUUCAAUUAGUAAAUAUAUAUAUAUAUAUAUAUAUAUAUAUGUAAUAUGCUUAAAUAGGAUGUUAGAAACAAGCCGUAGACUUAGUUUGUGUGAUUAAUAACUGUAUACACUUGGAAUAAAUUCGAUGAAUGAAGCGCUAGUGAUGGUAUGUGCUAGGAGCUAGCAUUAUAAGUGAAGACGACACUAAUAAGAGCUCUGGAUCAGAUUCUGACUUUAAUGCAAUUAUGAAAUUAAUUUACGUGAUUAAAGAACGGAGGGACAAUGUGUACAAAGACGUUUAUGAAUGAAUGAGAUUCUUGCCAAGAUCUCGAAUGCAUCCCUGUGGUAGUAAGCAUUGUAAAUGAAGAAAUGAAAGAGUAGGAGUAGAAUUGGUCCAGUCGUAAUGAGAAAGGUUUCGGGGACGAAACCUCCUUUAAGGGGGGUAGACUUGUAACGCCCCAAAAACCCAAAUGUUAAAAAUUUCAAGAAUGACUUAUUUUUAUAUGGUGUGACAUUAAGGUAACUGAGUUAGCGAACUUGGUUUUAAAUACAAGUUAGUAUGUGAAACGAAAUAAAUGGCAAGUUUUAAAAGUUUGAGGGGUUAAAAGGAAAAUGUGUUAAAUAAAACACUUUACAAAAAAAAAUGUCAGUAACUUGGGGGGUUCUAUGCGUGCGAUCGAGAGCAGGGCCAAAGGGAAGAGCCAAAAACCCUAACAACCAAAAAUCAUCAAAUUGAUAAGGAGAUCAAGGGAAAAAUCGAAUGCAUGAGUCUGGAUACUCUUUAAUCUAAGUGUAUUGAUCAUAAGGAUAGGAACCCCAAAUUGACAUGGACUCAAAUAUGGAAGGCUAACGGAUCAAGAGGAAAUGAGGAAGUUAUGCACAAACUUGGACGCACGAGGUAAGUGAUCUCUAUAAUCACUUAUUUAGUUGUUUAAGUAAUAUAAUGUUUUAAUUAUUAAGUUUAUAUGAAGUUGAGGUCAAAUCGAUAGAUUAUUUUGAUAAAUGCACGAAUGGAUCGAAUAAUUCAUAGAUGGAUAACAAGCCGAAUACGUAUAAGUUAAGAAAUUUCUUAACUCGGAUGUUGGAUCUCAAGUUCACAUGAUAGAAGGUUAAUUUACAAUCAUGUAGGAAGAAACGGGAGGUUAAACGGGUAAACGGUUUGAAAGUUACGCAAGUUUUAACGUAAACGGACAAAGUUGGAAAAGCUGCAGAGUAGCCAAAUCGUAAGCUACAGUUCAGUCGUAGGCUACAGAACGUAGCUGCUGUUUGGAUCAGAGCAGCCAAAUCGUAAGCUACAGUUCAGUCGUAGGCUACAGAACGUAGCUGCUGUUUGGACCAAACAACUGAAUCGUAAGCUACAGCUGAGCCGUAGCUUACGGCGGCAGUUAUGCAAAAAGUUGAUUGUUUUGUUAUUUUUGACCUUCGGGCAUAAAUAGAUACGUUAUAAACUCCUCUUAACUAAUAUUUUUGGGUUAUAAACUCAAGUCUAAGCACCAUAUAAUUAAUAUAUGAGUAUGAUGAUGGAAUGCGAGUAGGUUAAUCAAGAAUUGGAUGUAAGUAAAUAUGUGUAGACAUGAUUAUGUAAGCAUGUAACGGAUGGAACUUGUUUAUAAGUAAGUCUAUUAUCGGAUGGUCAUAUGCAUGACUAGGGAGGUGUGUUAAUUUAAAUUAAGUGAAUAGGAUGGUAUGUAAUUAUGAAUAAUUGGAGUCAUGGUGAGUUUAAGUCGUAUAAACAAGUAUGCGUGAUGUGUAUAGAAAAAAAAAUAUAUAUAUAUAUAUAUAUAUAUAUGUAUGUACAUAAUUAUGUGAAAGGCGUACAUAGUGUUGUAGUUAAAUAGAUGUAUAAAUGGUUGGCGAUCUUUUUAUGAAAAUGUAGUACUUGAAUAUGUGGGGAUUACGGGUUUGCUAACCAAAUUAUUAUUGAGUAUGUUGAAAGUGCAGGUUUAUGAAUGUCGGACUUUCGAAGUGUUGAUAUAGUAAUGAAAUGAUUGAGUGUUGGAAGAUAAUCGGGUUGAAGUAACUUAAGCGGUUAGAAUAUGCUAUGGACGUUUUAGUUUAUACAAUAUUUUAUGUUUGGUCGUCACCACCUACUAACAGGUUAGUUGUAUGAGAAUAUAUGUGAUACCCAUUUAAUUGGGAAAUCGAAUGCGUAAGAGAAAUGAGAGUAUGUACAUGAAUGGAAUUAAAAUGACGGUUUUAUAAGCAAACAAGUAUAAAGACUAACUUUUUAAAGCUUUGUUGUUGAAUGUAGGUAAACCCUCAAUUCAGGCGACUUGGAGAAUCGGAGCGAGCGCGUGUUCAUGUUAUGUCAUACCAAACGCUUCCGCUAGCUUGUUCAAAUGUUUUUAGUCCAAAAUUUGUUGUAUUGGUUCUUAGUAGUAUUUUGUCGAAUAAAUCGUAGAAUUGUAACUAGUUUGAUUAUGUUUAAAACAGGGGUAUGCUCGUUUUAUGAACGGGUCAUGCCCAAUUUUUGUUAAAUUAUAGUAUGAUAAUAUCACAUUUAGGAA